GAGGUAAAGUAAGUUAUUGUGGUAGUACCGAAGCUUUAGUAAAAUGAAGUAGAAACGGAUGUAAUAUCAAAUGGAUAGAAGUUGCCUCGUUAGUGGAAAACCACCACCUAUAAGUAAAGAGUGUUGGAAGUACGAAUUAUCUUUCUCCACACUUCUCUUAGACUACAAUCCUUGCUGAUGUUAAGUGUUUGUAGCUUCUAGACUUCUCUUUUU
rnacentral:lncRNA from 1 species